UACGUAGGGUGCAAGCGUUGUCCGGAAUUACUGGGCGUAAAGCGUGCGCAGGCGGUUGUGCAAGACAGAUGUGAAAUCCCCGGGCUUAACCUGGGAAUUGCAUUUGUGACUGCACGGCUAGAGUGUGUCAGAGGGGGGUAGAAUUCCACGUGUAGCAGUGAAAUGCGUAGAUAUGUGGAGGAAUACCGAUGGCGAAGGCAGCCCCCUGGGAUAACACUGACGCUCAUGCACGAAAGCGUGGGGAGCAAACAGG
rnacentral:rRNA from 1 species